rnacentral:lncRNA from 1 species
UCCUGUUUUGCUAUGACCGAGCCCCAGGUUGCCUCUUCAGAUGCCACCAACAUUGAGGCUUCCAUCAGAGAGGAGGACAGCUUCUAUGUCAUAAACGGUCACAAAUGGUGGAUCACAGGGCAGGGACGUCCCCCGGUGCCCACACAUGGACGGAUGCCUCCCUGCACAUGUGACCCCAGGAAUCUCUCCACUUCCUGCUGUUCAUUCUGCUUUGGGCAGCUCCCCUUCCUUGGUGGCUUCCUGGCUCCUCGAUCAGGCUGUUUCCUGCCGUCCUUUUCCCUUUAACCAUGUCCCAGUAAGAAGGCUAAAUAAAGGGCAGGGACAUUGCCAGCAGAUAACCCAGACUGAGGUGAGGAAUAAACACAUCCAAGGAAAAUGACUAUGGCUAUUGCUCACAGUGAUCGUUUGGGUCUUUCAGGUGGCCAUGGUGAAGUCCGAUUUGAGCACGU